rnacentral:misc_RNA from 1 species
GAUGAAGAACGUAGCGAAAUGCGAUAAGUAAUGUGAAUUGCAGAAUUCAGUGAAUCAUCGAAUCUUUGAACGCACAUUGCGCCCCCUGGUAUUCCAUGGGGCAUGCCUGUUCGAGCGUCAUUUGUACCCUCAAGCUUUGCUUGGUGUUGGGUGUUUGUCCCGCGUUGCGCGUGGACUCGCCUUAAAGCGAUUGGCAGCCGGCAUAUUGGCCUUGGAGCGCAGCACAUUUUGCGCUUCUAGUCAUGAAUGUUGGCGUCCAUUAAGCCUAUACAUUUGCUCUUGACCUCGGAUCAGGUAGGGAUACCCGCUGAACUUAAGCAUAUCAAUAAGCGGAGGA